rnacentral:rRNA from 1 species
CCCGGCGACCGGCGCACGGUGAGUAACACGUAUGCAACCUGGCCGCCACAGGGGGAUAACCCGCGGAAACGCGGCCUAAUACCCCGUGACGCCACCGGAGGGCAUCCUCCGGUGGCCAAAGGAGCGAUCCGGUGGCGGAUGGGCAUGCGGCGCAUUAGCUAGACGGCGGGGUGACGGCCCACCGUGGCGACGAUGCGUAGGGGUUCUGAGAGGAAGGCCCCCCACACUGGGACUGAGACACGGCCCAGACUCCUACGGGAGGCAGCAG